rnacentral:lncRNA from 1 species
GAUGUGGUUCGGCGUCGUUUGUAGAAUUUGGAAAAACUUUAAAUUCUUAGGUUUGAAUCCGUGAUUAAUUCAUGAUUUUGGUGUUGUUCGGCGUGGUUUAAAGGCUCAACUAAGUUCGUAAGGGGUUUUAGGAUUAGUUGGUAUGUUUGGUUGAGGUCCCGGGGGCCUCGGGUGAGUUUCAGAUGCUUAACGGGUGAAAACUUGAACUUAGAGGAAUUUGAAAUUUUGAUAUCGAGCUCGAAAUGGAAUUUCGAAAGUGGCUGUAGGUACAUAAUGUCAUAUGUGACAUGUGUGUAAAAUUUAAAGUCAUUCGGAUUUGAUGUGGUUCGGCGUCGUUUGUAGAAUUUGGAAAAACCUUAAAUUCUUAGGUUUGAAUCCGUGAUUAAUUCAUAAUUUUGGUGUUGUUCGACGUGGUUUAAAGGCUCAACUAAGUUCGUAAGGGUUUUUAGGAUUAGUUGGUAUGUUUGGUUGAGGUCCCGGGGGCCUCGGGCGAGUUUCAGAUGCUUAACGGGUGAAAACUUGAACUUAGAGGAAUUUGAAAAUUUGAUAUCGAGCUCGGAAUGGAAUUCNUUAUCGAUUUAAUUAUAAACCGUGGCAGUAAAAGCCUUCCGAUCUGUACUCAAUUCCGAAAGUGGCUGUAGGUUGAAUUCCGAAAGUAGCUGUAGGUUCAUAAUGUCAUAUGUGACAUGUGUGUAAAAUUUAAAGUCAUUCGAUUUGAUGUGAUUCGGCGUCGUUUGUAGAAUUUUGAAAAACUUUAAAUUCUUAGGUUUGAAUCCGUGAUUAAUUCAUGAUUUUGGUGUUGUUCGGCGUGGUUUAAAGGCUCAACUAAGUUCGUAAGGGGUUUUAGGAUUAGUUGGUAUGUUUGGUUGAGGUCCCGGGGGCCUCGGGUGUGUUUCAGAUGCUUAACGGGUGAAAACUUGGACUUAGAGGAAUUUCUGAACUUU